rnacentral:tRNA from 1 species
GCCCGGGUGGUGGAAUUGGUAGACACAAGGGACUUAAAAUCCCUCGAUAGCAAUAUCGUGCCGGUUCAAGUCCGGCCCCGGGUA